rnacentral:rRNA from 1 species
AGAGUUUGAUCCUGGCUCAGAUUGAACGCUGGCGGCAGGCCUAACACAUGCAAGUCGAGCGGUAGAGAGAAGCUUGCUUCUCUUGAGAGCGGCGGACGGGUGAGUAAUACCUAGGAAUCUGCCUGAUAGUGGGGAUAACGUUCGGAAACGGACGCUAAUACCGCAUACGUCCUACGGGAGAAAGCAGGGGACCUUCGGGCCUUGCGCUAUCAGAUGAGCCUAGGUCGGAUUAGCUAGUUGGUGAGGUAAUGGCUCACCAAGGCUACGAUCCGUAACUGGUCUGAGAGGAUGAUCAGUCACACUGGAACUGAGACACGGUCCAGACUCCUACGGGAGGCAGCAGUGGGGAAUAUUGGACAAUGGGCGAAAGCCUGAUCCAGCCAUGCCGCGUGUGUGAAGAAGGUCUUCGGAUUGUAAAGCACUUUAAGUUGGGAGGAAGGGCGUUAACCUAAUACGUUGGUGUCUUGACGUUACCGACAGAAUAAGCACCGGCUAACUCUGUG